AUUGAACGCUGGCGGCAGGCCUAACACAUGCAAGUCGAGCGGAGCGGCGGACGGGUGAGUAAUGCCUAUGAAUCUGCCUGGUAGUGGGGGAUAACGUCCGGAAACGGGCGCUAAUACCGCAUACUAUCAGAUGAGCCUAGGUCGGAUUAGCUAGGUGGUGGGGUAAAGGCCUACCAAGGCGACGAUCCGUAGCUGGUCUGAGAGGAUGAUCAGUCACACUGGGACUGAGACACGGUCCAGACUCCGACGGGAGGCAGCAGUGGGGAAUAUUGGGCAAUGGGCGAAAGCCUGAUCCAGCCAUGCCGCGUGUGUGAAGAAGGUCUUCGGAUUGUAAAGCACUUUAGGUAGGGAGGCGUUACCUACAGAAUAAGCACCGGCUAACUUCGUGCCAGCCGCCGCGGUAAUAC
rnacentral:rRNA from 1 species